GCACUGCACAGGAAAACUAUCGAAUGUGUGUCCAUAAAUCCAGGGUCUAGUCUACUCACUGGAGUCCCUAGAAAACAAAUGAGAUUCCCUGCAACCAUUGGUGACAAGGAGAUAGCACGCCCGCCAGCAGUUGAACUUCUUGACUGAUGCCGUGGCCAUGGCUACUAAAAUGGAGGGAGCAGCUGCGAACCAGAAGACUCCAGCCAAGGUAGCACUGGUCCACACCUGCCAUGUCUGUCAGAUGCAGACCCGAAGACAUUCAAGUAGCACUUUCAGAGUGUAACAGUAUAACUUUAGACCGUCCCCUCGCCCCGACCCGGGCGCGAACCAGGGACCCUCUGCACACAUCAACAACUGACACCCACGAAGCGUCGUUACCCAUCACUCCACAAAAGCCGCGGCCCUUGCAGAGCAAGGGGCAACACUACAUCUAGGUUUCAGAGCAAGUGACGUAACUGAUUGAAACGCUACUAGCGCGUACCCGCUAACUAGCUAGCCAUUUCACAUCCGUUACAAGAGCAAGCAUCCCAAGUCUCCAGUGGUCCCAGUACUGAUGUACUUGAUGUGCAGGCCUAAGGGACCACACACACUCAAAUGGACCUACAGCUGGGACACACUAUGACCACGAUUUUAAUGCUGCAACUGAGAAGGAUCGACGUCAAGGGACACACGCUGAGACCCCGAGUAUGAUUAGACAUGGGCCAGAUAUUUGCGACUACGACCUGAAAGGGGUGCAGAAGCACACCAGCACCCUAUUUUAUGUUUAUUCCAUGGCCAACCAUCUCUCUAGCUACCCCUUAUUCCACACAAUGCCUUUUAUCCUCCAUGGUCCCUCAACUUCUGACACUUUAUAACUAUCCAUCUUAUCUCCUACCUACCCUACCUUCACCCAUUUUCCCUAUGCUGCUUCCUUCACUUGUUCUUCUCCUGAUUUCACAAUAUCUAGACUCAGUAACACGUUUAAAAGUAUUGUGGUGUACUGUUCUUGCUACCUUGCUAUAA